UACGUAGGGGGCAAGCGUUGUCCGGAAUCAUUGGGCGUAAAGCGCACGUAGGCGGCUUUGCAAGUCAGAGGUGAAAGCCCGGGGCUCAACCCCGGAAUUGCCUUUGAGACUGCAUCGCUAGAAUUGUGGAGAGGUAAGUGGAAUUCCGAGUGUAGAGGUGAAAUUCGUAGAUAUUCGGAAGAACACCAGUGGCGAAGGCGACUUACUGGACACAUAUUGACGCUGAGGUGCGAAAGCGUGGGGAGCAAACAGG
rnacentral:rRNA from 1 species